rnacentral:ncRNA from 1 species
CCCUGGCUACUCCAUUUCCAAUAGCCAUGCGGGGCCCAGAGAAGGAGGAAAAGGACCGCCGGCCGGCGGUGCGGCAGUGUGGAGACCUGCCGUAAACCUGUUCGGGUUCUGCUCCCGGGCGGGAAGGCCUUUUUGCGGAGGCGGGAAGGUCACGGCCAAGGUGUAUGGCA